AUACCUACAAUAUAUACAUAGCUGCAAAGUUAGAAAAUUACUCCGAAACUAUGGUGCGGCUUAUUUGGGGAUUACUGUAAAUAUGAUACAUUCAGCCUUCGGAUGAAGCCUACAGUGUCAAAUAUUUAAUAUUGAAGCAUGAUUCAAUUAUAGAAGGUUAGGUAAGUAAACAGCUUUCUCGCUCCCUCUUGACAUAUCGGCUCCCUUAUUUGAAAACGUGUUGCUUCUUUACAAAAAAAAGUACCUAUUUCACAAAAAAAUUUUUGAAUUGUAGUAAAAACUAAACUUUUGGUGCAAAUUAUUUGGUCGGCAACACUGUUUCCAUUUUUGACACGUUGCUUUAUUCAUAUUCGUUAAAAACCGUUUAUUUCAUUGGAAAAAUUCAAGUGUUCAUAUAUGUGCAAGUGCAGUAUGUAUUUCAAAAUAAUCAUUAUAGAAUUCCAGCAUCGUUUUCCUGUAAAUAUACAUUUUUGAUUUCUGAGCAAAUUCAGCAUUCAUGCACCUGCACCCCAGUGUCUAAUAUUCGUACGCGUUUCGUAUCGUUAAAUACUCAUUUUUGAUUUCUGAGCAAAUUCAGCAUUCCUGCACCUGCAGCCCCGUGUCUAAUAUUCGUACGCGUUUUGUAUCGUUAAAUACUCAUUUUUGAUUUCUGAGCAAAUUCAGCAUUCCUGCACCUGCAGCCCCGUGUCUAAUAUUCGUACGCGUUUUGUAUCGUUAAAUACUCGUAAGUUAUAAUAUUGUAUUUGCAAGUUAUCUAUUUCUAAUAUUUUUUGGAGAACAAUUAUAAAGGGUUUUCCAAUAGGAGGUGUUAUUUUUAUAUUCAAAGAAAAAUGCUAUUUUUAAUGUAAAUGAUCGGAUGUUUAUUUCAGUUUAAAGAGGAAAACCCUUUAGUAUAUGUAUUUUUUUGUUAAUAAUUCGCGCAAGAACACAUUCAAUUAAAAAUAUUUAAAUAAGAUUAUGAAUUAAUUAAUUAAUUAAUAGGACUAUGAAUAAGUUCGUGCGGUUUUACAACAGAUGGCGUAACUUGAUUAUUAUUCCAUCGAUCCACAUUUCCAAACAUUCAUUGGAGAGCUACUGUCGUAAGGCACAAACGUCAGUAUAAGUUUUUUAUUUGAAGCGUAAACAACAAUAUUUUUACCACACUUGAAAAUGUCGAAUUUCGUGCCAAAUAAUGUGUUUUUGCGGGGAAUUCUUCUUCAUUAUUUUAAUAUGAAGAAAAAAGCAGCCGA